rnacentral:rRNA from 1 species
AGUGAACGCUGGCGGUAGGCCUAACACAUGCAAGUCGAACGGCAGCACAGUAAGAGCUUGCUCUUACGGGUGGCGAGUGGCGGACGGGUGAGGAAUACAUCGGAAUCUACUUUUUCGUGGGGGAUAACGUAGGGAAACUUACGCUAAUACCGCAUACGACGUACGGGUGAAAGCAGGGGAUCUUCGGACCUUGCGCGAUUGAAUGAGCCGAUGUCGGAUUAGCUAGUUGGCGGGGUAAAGGCCCACCAAGGCGACGAUCCGUAGCUGGUCUGAGAGGAUGAUCGGCCACACGGGAACUGAGACACGGUCCAGACUCCUACGGGAGGCAGCAGUGGGGAAUAUUGGACAAUGGGCGCAAGCCUGAUCCAGCCAUACCGCGUGGGUGAAGAAGGCCUUCGGGUUGUAAAGCCCUUUUGUUGGGAAAGAAAAGCAGCAGGUUAAUACCCCGCUGUUCUGACGGUACCCAAAGAAUAAGCACCGGCUAACUUCGUG